rnacentral:lncRNA from 1 species
AUUUGUUAUUAUGUGAGUACCACAAUUUUAAUUAUUCUGUUACAAAAUAGAUUUUAAACUUUAAAGGAAAAAAGUAAUCUCUACACCUAAAAUGGGACUUGACCUCAUGACCCUGAGAUCGAGAGUCACAUGUUCUACUGACUGAGCUGGCCAGGUACCUCACAAAACAGAUUUUAAGAAUCCAUUCCUACAUACUUACCUGGCUGCACUUUUUAACAACAUCUGGCCCAGGACUGACAGUAAGAAGAGCUGUCAUAAGGUAGCGAUUCAGCAGCUUCCCGAGUCCUAGUUCUUGCAACGUGUCAUCUGGGAGGAGUCCAUUCCAAAGAAGAAUAUUGCGGAAAAGCUAAAGUACAGUAUCAGGUGAGUAUGUGUAGCUGUUUCUCUAAAGAAAAACUGUAAUAGUUUCCAGCAAACAUAAAACACUGGUCAAAUUCUUUUAAACUCUCCUUAUUAGUACUGGUAGAAGUGUCAGUUUUAUUUAUUUUUUAAAGUUUAUUUAUUUUGAGAGAGAGUGAGAGUGAGUGAUCAUGAACAAGCAAGCAGGGGAGAGGCAGAGAGAGAAUCCCAAGCAGACUCCCAUGUUGUCAGUGCAGAGCCCAACAUGGGGCUCGAUCUCAGGAACUGUGCGAUGGUGACCUAAGCCAAAAUUAAGAGUCAGAUGCCUGAGUGAGUCACCCAGGCACCCCAGACGUGUCAAUUUUAGAAACAGCAGAAAAGAUUUUUUAUCAAUUGCCUAAUUCUUUCCAAA